GCCCCGGUAGCUCAGUGGAUAGAGCAACCCCCUCCUAAGGGGUAGGCCGCACGUUCGAUUCGUGCUCGGGGCGCCA
rnacentral:tRNA from 3 species